UGGGGAAUUUUGGACAAUGGGCGAAAGCCUGAUCCAGCCAUGCCGCGUGUGUGAAGAAGGUCUUCGGAUUGUAAAGCACUUUAAGUUGGGAGGAAGGGUUGUAGAUUAAUACUCUGCAAUUUUGACGUUACCGACAGAAUAAGCACCGGCUAACUCUGUGCCAGCAGCCGCGGUAAUACAGAGGGUGCAAGCGUUAAUCGGAAUUACUGGGCGUAAAGCGCGCGUAGGUGGUUUGUUAAGUUGGAUGUGAAAUCCCCGGGCUCAACCUGGGAACUGCAUCCAAAACUGGCAAGCUAGAGUAUGGUAGAGGGUGGUGGAAUUUCCUGUGUAGCGGUGAAAUGCGUAGAUAUAGGAAGGAACACCAGUGGCGAAGGCGACCACCUGGACUGAUACUGACACUGAGGUGCGAAAGCGUGGGGAGCAAACAGGAUUAGAUACCCGCGUAGUCCCUGAGCGGGCUGGCAAGGCGCAU
rnacentral:rRNA from 1 species